UACGGAGGAGGCAAGCGCUAUCCGGGCUUAUUGGGCGGAAAGCGUCGGUAGGUGGUUGACCAAGUCUGCUGUCACAGGGUGGGGCUUAACCUCAUAAAGGCAGUGGAAACUGGUGAGCUAGAGUGCGGUAGGGGUAAGGGGAAUUCCCAGUGUAGCGGUGAAAUGCGUAGAGAUUGGGAAGAACAUCGGUGGCGAAAGCGACUUGCUGGGCCUGCGCUGACACUGAGGGACGAAAGCUAGGGGAGCGAAAGGG
rnacentral:rRNA from 1 species